UCGAGCGAACGGACGAGAAGCUUGCUUCUCUGAUGUUAGCGGCGGACGGGUGAGUAACACGUGGAUAACCUACCUAUAAGACUGGGAUAACUUCGGGAAACCGGAGCUAAUACCGGAUAAUAUUUUGAACCGCAUGGUUCAAAAGUAAAAGACGGUCUUGCUGUCACUUAUAGAUGGAUCCGCGCUGCAUUAGCUAGUUGGUAAGGUAACGGCUUACCAAGGCAACGAUGCAUAGCCGACCCGAGAGGGUGAUCGGCCACACUGGAACUGAGACACGGUCCAGACUCCUACGGGAGGCAGCAGUAGGGAAUCUUCCGCAAUGGGCGAAAGCCUGACGGAGCAACGCCGCGUGAGUGAUGAAGGUCUUCGGAUCGUAAAACUCUGUUAUUAGGGAAGAACAUAUGUGUAAGUAACUGUGCACAUCUUGACGGUACCUAAUCAGAAAGCCACGGCUAACUACGUGCCAGCAGCCGCGGUAAUACGUAGGUGGCAAGCGUUAUCCGGAAUUAUUGGGCGUAAAGCGCGCGUAGGCGGUUUUUUAAGUCUGAUGUGAAAGCCCACGGCUCAACCGUGGAGGGUCAUUGGAAACUGGAAAACUUGAGUGCAGAAGAGGAAAGUGGAAUUCCAUGUGUAGCGGUGAAAUGCGCAGAGAUAUGGAGGAACACCAGUGGCGAAGGCGACUUUCUGGUCUGUAACUGACGCUGAUGUGCGAAAGCGUGGGGA
rnacentral:rRNA from 1 species